GGCCCCGUCGUCUAGCGGCCUAGGACACCGCCCUUUCACGGCGGUAACACGGGUUCGAGUCCCGUCGGGGUCA
rnacentral:tRNA from 1 species